AGCAUGGACUCACUCAACCUGAGUUGUCAAAUGUCAUUUCAAGGCAUAUGGAAGCAAAAUAUAAAGUGCCAAGUUUAAAAGUAGCCUUCACAUCGUAUGAUAUAAGUCUCAGUUACAUGCUGUUCAUCAUAUGAUGUAUGUCACAGUUUGCGGGUUGAAUAUAUGCUUUUUUUGCUUUGCUGGUUUAUCACAUUGAUUGGUUGAGAUUGGUCUCUUCCAAAAGUGAGGGUUGGUUUCUUCUAUCAUGUGGAUGAGUGGUGACUGGAAGUAAGCUUAGCUCAACUGUGGAUAAGUACAAUUGUGGGGAAUAGUCAGAGCUGCCUGGAUGGUGAGAUAGUCUUGUCAGGAUGUCUUGCAGAUUUGUAUAUUCUCAUAAUAUUCCCACUUGAUGAAUUUUUGGUAAGUGUGGGCACUCCCAGGGCUUGUGGGCAAAAGAGAAACCUCAACUCAGCUCAUGGUAGACCUGGAUGUAGGUAGCUGUGGUAUGGUGUGAAACCUGGUGGUUUUGGUUGUAGGACAUUGAGGUGUCACAGCCUAAUGAACUGAUAACAACCUGUUAUUGCUAAUAUAACCACUGUGUGAAUCCCUGUUACUGUGGUUUGCUGCUAUCACAGUUACCCCAAUAUAUUACUGUGCUGCCUUAUGAGAAAGUUUGGUGCUCUUGUGUAGAACUUUAUCAUGGUCAUCUGUUUGUGGGGAGUUCUUAUGUGAACUGUCAUAAGGUAUACAAAAAUGCUUCAUACUGUAAUCAUCUUGACUAGCUAAAUUCUCACUAUGCUUAUUAUGUUCUAAAACUAUAAUUGUCAUAUAAUUUCAGUGUUAUUGCAUAGGUUAAUUUGAGUGAGUCUCACGGGUGUAUAGUCCAGUUCCCCUGCUGAUGGAAGCUGCACCCCAUCUGAGUAUACAACACUCCACCACAGCCAUUGCCACCACCACCUACUACCUCCACCUCCACUGCCACCACCGUGCCAGCCAGGCCAGAGGCAUGGGAUCCUAAUGUUCAGAGUCUAGAUUCAGAAGCAAUGAAGAUGAACCCAGGAGUGCUCCCUUACAUGAUAUACAAGAUAUCACUUACUCUUCUACUAACUUUUUGAAGGCUGUGAACAGAUGAGUAUCAGCAGAUGGUGGCUGUUGGGGGCUGAGGACAAGGGUAUGUGGGUGAUGUGCCUCCUCAGUCGGUGCUCUGCCCACCCUCUGCUGCAAGGUUAUCCUCCUUUGCUGCGAGAGCCUUCCCCCAUACCUUAUCUACCUCUUCCUUUUAUGGAUAACAGUGGUGGUGGGUGAACUGCUCGACUUCAGGGCAGAGAUGGAAGAGAUGUAGAGAAGGAAUGAAGAUCAAGCCAGUGCUCGUCGCCACAUCACUGACCACAUUCAGGAGUUGGGCCACCUGAGGGAGUGUGCAAAGUUGAUGGCUGACAAGGGAGAAAUGUGGAGGCCUGCAGUGCAUGGCAGGAAGGAAAGUUGUGUAUGAGGUUUUGUAUUAAGCUAUAUUUGGAAGGGAGGGGGAAAUGAUACAAACAACAGCUUUAUCUUUGUAUUUGUUAUUUCUUGCAAGGAGACAUGUUGAAUAUGUUAUUUAUUUAUUUAAUACCAUUUUUUCACUUAGGGUUGGCAGAUCCAUACAAGUAUUACUUUGAUGCUGUGCUCCCUCCAGAAUUGUUCAUGAAUGUAGUGGUCUUGGCAGAAGAGCCUCCACCUCUGCUCAUCCAAACAUUUCCUCCUUAUUCGCUGAAAUUCUUCCCUACUACUUGCACCUCUUUCAUACAUAUACUCCUUCACAUUAUUUCUCUACCUUCCAAAUGGCCAUCCUUUCCUACUAGGAUCAUUGAUGUAUAGUUGGGAAGAGGAUGCAUGAUAUGCCAUUUGGGGGUAUCAGCAGGGUUAUGUACGCAUGAAGCAUUGAUUCCCACCACAUUAUGUAGAAUGUAGAAUAUUUUUUUCUUUCAUACAUUCUAGUUAUUCUUGUAUGAUAUGUGCUUAGGAAGCAACACUUUGAUAGAUAAUUCAUAGG